UCCGUAGGGGGCAAGCGUUGUCCGGAUUCAUUGGGCGUAAAGAGCGUGUAGGCGGCCAGGUAGGUCGGUUGUGAAAACUGGAGGCUCAACCUUCAGAGGUCGACCGAAACCAUCUGGCUAGAGUCCGGGAGAGGAGAGUGGAAUUCCUGGUGUAGCGGUGAAAUGCGCAGAUAUCAGGAAGAACACCCGUGGCGAAAGCGGCUCUCUGGAACGGUACUGACGCUGAGACGCGAAAGCGUGGGGAGCGAACAGG
rnacentral:rRNA from 1 species